CCCUUUAUUCAGCCCUUCUUUCCUCAACCUUUGUUCAGCCUCUAUUUUUCAAAGACAUCACUACUACACCACUGCACUCCGGCAUCCUCGGCCCACAACCAUCUUCAGUCAACCUCGGGGCUCGGGGGCACCACAAUCGUCGCACCACCCACAAGGAAUGCCUUCCAGAUCUGUUCCUAUCGAUUUUGAUUAUCUUUUUUAAGAUCUGGGUUUUGUCAAUUUGUGCAUGUUCUAUGGAAGAAGUGGUUUGUAAAAGUUGAGAUCUGGAUGUGUAAAAAUUGAUAUUUGAGUUGUAUUUUGAUUUUGAUAUGG
rnacentral:lncRNA from 1 species